rnacentral:rRNA from 1 species
GAUGAACGCUGGCGGCGUGCCUAAUACAUGCAAGUCGAGCGAACGGACGAGAAGCUUGCUUCUCUGAUGUUAGCGGCGGACGGGUGAGUAACACGUGGAUAACCUACCUAUAAGACUGGGAUAACUUCGGGAAACCGGAGCUAAUACCGGAUGAUAUUUUGAACCGCAUGGUUCAAAAGUGAAAGACGGUCUUGCUGUCACUUAUAGAUGGAUCCGCGCUGCAUUAGCUAGUUGGUAAGGUAAUGGCUUACCAAGGCAACGAUGGAUAGCCGACCUGAGAGGGUGAUCGGCCACACUGGAACUGAGACACGGUCCAGACUCCUACGGGAGGCAGCAGUAGGGAAUCUUCCGCAAUGGGCGAAAGCCUGACGGAGCAACGCCGCGUGAGUGAUGAAGGUCUUCGGAUCGUAAAACUCUGUUAUUAGGGAAGAACAUAUGUGUAAGUAACUGUGCACAUCUUGACGGUACCUAAUCAGAAAGCCACGGCUAACUACGUG